rnacentral:rRNA from 1 species
AGAGUUUGAUCCUGGCUCAGGAUGAACGCUGGCGGCGUGCUUAACACAUGCAAGUCGAACGGGGGCGUGAUGUGCGAGAGGGAUAGUUUACUAGACUUCAAACUUUUCACGCCCUAGUGGCGGACGGGUGAGUAACGCGUGGGUAACCUGCCAUAUACAGGGGGAUAACACUUAGAAAUAGGUGCUAAUACCGCAUAAGCGCACAGGGGCGCAUGCCCCGGUGUGAAAAACUCCGGUGGUAUAUGAUGGACCCGCGUCUGAUUAGCCAGUUGGCAGGGUAACGGCCUACCAAAGCGACGAUCAGUAGCCGGCCUGAGAGGGCGGACGGCCACAUUGGGACUGAGACACGGCCCAAACUCCUACGGGAGGCAGCAGUGGGGGAUAUUGCACAAUGGGGGAAACCCUGAUGCAGCGACGCCGCGUGAGUGAAGAAGUAUUUCGGUAUGUAAAGCUCUAUCAGCAGGGAAGAAAAUGACAGUACCUGACCAAGAAGCCCCGGCUAACUACGUGCCAGCAGCCGCGGUAAUACGUAGGGGGCAAGCGUUAUCCGGAUUUACUGGGUGUAAAGGGAGCGUAGACGGUUAUGUAAGUCUGGAGUGAAAGCCCGGGGCCCAACCCCGGGACUGCUUUGGAAACUGUGUAACUGGAGUACAGGAGGGGCAGGCGGAAUUCCUGGUGUAGCGGUGAAAUGCGUAGAUAUCAGGAGGAACACCGGCGGCGAAGGCGGCCUGCUGGACUGAAACUGACGUUGAGGCUCGAAAGCGUGGGGAGCAAACAGGAUUAGAUACCCUGGUAGUCCACGCCGUAAA